rnacentral:rRNA from 1 species
UGGGGAAUUUUGGACAAUGGGGGCAACCCUGAUCCAGCAAUGCCGCGUGUGUGAAGAAGGCCUUCGGGUUGUAAAGCACUUUUGUCCGGAAAGAAAACGUCGUGGUUAAUACCCGUGGCGGCUGACGGUACCGGAAGAAUAAGCACCGGCUAACUACGUGCCAGCAGCCGCGGUAAUACGUAGGGUGCAAGCGUUAAUCGGAAUUACUGGGCGUAAAGCGUGCGCAGGCGGUCCGCUAAGACAGAUGUGAAAUCCCCGGGCUUAACCUGGGAACUGCAUUUGUGACUGGCGGGCUAGAGUAUGGCAGAGGGGGGUAGAAUUCCACGUGUAGCAGUGAAAUGCGUAGAGAUGUGGAGGAAUACCGAUGGCGAAGGCAGCCCCCUGGGCCAAUACUGACGCUCAUGCACGAAAGCGUGGGGAGCAAACAGGAUUAGAUACCCUGGUAGUCCACGCCCU